UACGAAGGGGGCUAGCGUUGCUCGGAAUUACUGGGCGUAAAGCGCGCGUAGGCGGCUUUGCAAGUCGGGUGUGAAAUCCCCAGGCUUAACCUGGGAACUGCAUUCGAGACUGCAUUGCUAGAGUAUGGGAGAGGGAAGUGGAAUUUCCGGUGUAGCGGUGAAAUGCGUAGAUAUCCGGAAGAACACCGGUGGCGAAGGCGGCCUGCUGGGCAGUAGCUGACGCUGAAGCGCGACAGCGUGGGGAGCAAACAGG
rnacentral:rRNA from 1 species